rnacentral:rRNA from 2 species
UAAAACUCAAAUGAAUUGACGGGGGCCCGCACAAGCGGUGGAGCAUGUGGUUUAAUUCGAUGCAACGCGAAGAACCUUACCUGGUCUUGACAUCCACGGAAGUUUUCAGAGAUGAGAAUGUGCCUUCGGGAACCGUGAGACAGGUGCUGCAUGGCUGUCGUCAGCUCGUGUUGUGAAAUGUUGGGUUAAGUCCCGCAACGAGCGCAACCCUUAUCCUUUGUUGCCAGCGGUCCGGCCGGGAACUCAAAGGAGACUGCCAGUGAUAAACUGGAGGAAGGUGGGGAUGACGUCAAGUCAUCAUGGCCCUUACGACCAGGGCUACACACGUGCUACAAUGGCGCAUACAAAGAGAAGCGACCUCGCGAGAGCAAGCGGACCUCAUAAAGUGCGUCGUAGUCCGGAUUGGAGUCUGCAACUCGACUCCAUGAAGUCGGAAUCGCUAGUAAUCGUGGAUCAGAAUGCCACGGUGAAUACGUUCCCGGGCCUUGUACACACCGCCCGUCACACCAUGGGAGUGGGUUGCAAAAGAAGUAGGUAGCUUAACCUUCGGGAGGGCGCUUACCACUUUGUGAUUCAUGACUGGGGUGAAGUCGUAACAAGGUAACCGUAGGGGAACCUGCGGUUGGAUCAC